rnacentral:rRNA from 1 species
UACCGCGUGUGUGAAGAAGGCCUUAGGUUGUAAAGCACUUUCAAUUGGAAGGAAAAACUCAUGGCCAAUACCCGUGAGCUUGACAUUACCUUUAGAAGAAGCACCGGCUAACUCCGUGCCAGCAGCCGCGGUAAUACGGAGGGUGCAGGCGUUAAUCGGAAUUACUGGGCGUAAAGCGUGCGUAGGCGGCUCGCUAAGUCAGAUGUGAAAGCCCCGGGCUCAACCUGGGAACGGCAUUUGAAACUGGCAAGCUAGAGUUUAGGAGAGGAGAGUGGAAUUUCAGGUGUAGCGGUGAAAUGCGUAGAGAUCUGAAGGAACACCAGUGGCGAAGGCGACUCUCUGGCCUAAAACUGACGCUGAGGUACGAAAGCGUGGGUAGCAAACAGGAUUAGAUACCCUGGUAGUCCACGCCGUAAACGAUGUCAACUAGCCGUUGGCUCUCUUAGAGAGUUAGUGGCGCAGCUAACGCAUUAAGUUGACCGCCUGGGGAGUACGGACGCAAGGUUAAAACUCAAAUGAAUUGACGGGGGCCCGCACAAGCGGUGGAGCA